rnacentral:sRNA from 1 species
UUCUGCCCAAGCGGGGAAGGAUGAGAAGCUUCGACUAAGGUUCGACUCGAGCGCCAGCGAGAGAGCGUUGCCGCAGGCAACGACCCGAAGGGCGAAGCGCGCAGCGCUGAGUAAUCCUUCCCCCACCACCA